GUGCUCGCUUCGGCAGUACAUAUACAAAAAUUGGAACGAUACAGAAAAGAUUUGCUCAAGGAUGACACACAAAUUCAUGAAGCAUUCCAUAUUUUU
ensembl:snRNA U6 U6 spliceosomal RNA